rnacentral:rRNA from 1 species
AACAUAGCCUGUAGAAGAGAAUAGUAGGUACUACCUGCCCAGUGAAAGUAAAUUAAAAGGCCGCGGUAUCUUGACCGUGCAAAGGUAGCAUAAUCAUUAGCCCCUUAAUUAGGAGCUGGCAUGAAUGGAAGCACAAGGAGGACCCUUUAUUAAAAAUUCGAAAGGGAGUUUAACUUUCCAUUUCAAAGGAUGGGAUCCUCUUGAAGGACGAGAAGACCCUAUAGAGCUUGAUAUUUACUUUUGGAAUUUGAACCCAGCUUGGAAGAAGUAUUUGGUCCCUUUUGGAAAGAUUGUUUUGUUGGGGCGACGAGAGAUCAAUUAAAACUUCUCUUAAAUUUAAAACACCCGCCUCUGGGUGGAUAAAGGAUCCGAGUACUGGAACGAUUUUAAGAAAAAGCUACCUUAGGGAUAACAGCAUAAUCCUGCCCGAGAGACCUUAUUGAAGGUGGGGCUUGUGACCUCGAUGUUGGAUUAAGGAAAUUAUUAGACGCAUCCGUUAUAAA